UUGAAAAUAUGCAGCAGUAAAAGAAUUGAGAACGGUAGAAACAUGAUUGGUAGAUGAGGGCAAAAAUAGUUAUUUUUACUAUAAUUUCGUACUUGUUGUUGUAUGACCUUGUUUUUCUUUCUACUUUGACAUUUAUGUUUUGACGUGGA
rnacentral:ribozyme from 14 species